rnacentral:lncRNA from 1 species
CUCCAAUAAUGAGCUCCUUCAGUCAUCUAUCGGACUGCUCCAAAUACUCUCUAGGCUUCACUAUCAGUCGAUUUUCUACAGUGAUCGACUACUCUCCGAAUCUUUUUCAGACUUUCUUCUGUCAUGAUUAACUUUACUCCGAGCUUCUUCCGAACUUUGUCAAUGUCCGGACUUCUCCAGCAGUAGAACUUCUACAGUAACCAGACUUCAUCC